rnacentral:tRNA from 1 species
GAGAUAGACUGGGGCAUCGAGAACUGCUAAUUACUCGCCACCGCGGUUCAAUUCCGCGGCUAACUCGGC